ACAUGCAAGUCGAGGGGCAGCAUUUUAGUUUGCUUGCAAACUAAAGAUGGCGACCGGCGCACGGGUGAGUAACACGUAUCCAACCUGCCGAUAACUCGGGGAUAGCCUUUCGAAAGAAAGAUUAAUAUCCGAUAGCAUAUUAGAACCGCAUGGUUUACUAUUAAAGAAUUUCGGUUAUCGAUGGGGAUGCGUUCCAUUAGUUUGUUGGCGGGGUAACGGCCCACCAAGGCUACGAUGGAUAGGGGUUCUGAGAGGAAGGUCCCCCACAUUGGAACUGAGACACGGUCCAAACUCCUACGGGAGGCAGCAGUGAGGAAUAUUGGUCAAUGGACGAGAGUCUGAACCAGCCAAGUAGCGUGAAGGAUGACUGCCCUAUGGGUUGUAAACUUCUUUUAUAUGGGAAUAAAGUAUUCCACGUGUGGGAUUUUGUAUGUACCAUAUGAAUAAGGAUCGGCUAACUCCGUGCCAGCAGCCGCGGUAAUACGGAGGAUCCGAGCGUUAUCCGGAUUUAUUGGGUUUAAAGGGAGCGUAGGUGGAUUGUUAAGUCAGUUGUGAAAGUUUGCGGCUCAACCGUAAAAUUGCAGUUGAAACUGGCAGUCUUGAGUAC
rnacentral:rRNA from 1 species